GUGUCAGCAGCCGCGGUAAUACGUAGGUGGCAAGCGUUAUCCGGAAUUAUUGGGCGUAAAGCGCGCGCAGGUGGUUUCUUAAGUCUGAUGUGAAAGCCCACGGCUCAACCUUGGAGGGUCAUUGGAAACUGGGUUACUUGAGUGCAGAAGAGGAAAGUGGAAUUCCAUGUGUAGCGGUGAAAUGCGUAGUGAUAGGGAGGAACACCAGUGGCGAAGGCGACUUUCUGGUCGUUAACUGACGCUGAGGCGCGAAAGCGUGGGGAGCAAACAGGAUUAGAU
rnacentral:rRNA from 1 species